UACAGAAGGUGCGAGCGUUAAUCGGAGUUACUGGGCGUAAAGGGCGCGUAGGCGGUGAGAUGAGUGUGAUGUGAAAGCCCUGGGCUUAACCUAGGAAGUGCAUCGCAAACUAUCUGACUGGAGUAUAUGAGGGGGUGGCGGAAUUUCCGGUGUAGCGGUGAAAUGCGUAGAGAUCGGAAGGAACGUCGAUGGCGAAGGCAGCCACCUGGCAUAAUACUGACGCUGAGGCGCGAAAGCGUGGGGAGCGAACAGG
rnacentral:rRNA from 1 species